GACAGUGAUGUAAAGGUCCUAUUCCAUUGCUGAAACGGCAGUGUGGACAAGUCCUGCCUGAUGUC
ensembl:snoRNA